rnacentral:rRNA from 2 species
CCAGGGAGGUCGGCAACGACCACCCAGGGCCGGAAAGUUGGUCAAACUCGGUCAUUUAGAGGAAGUAAAAGUCGUAACAAGGUCUCCGUAGGUGAACCUGCGGAGGGAUCAUUA